CGUUUUUUGAGGAACUUAAACAAGGCAUAUAUAGUAAUUACAUUCUAAAAUGUUCAUUUUACAGCCCCAUUGACUUGAAUGAAGCCACGGAACAUGAUUUGCAAUAAUAUGACCUGUUCUACCUUUGAACUGAAAAACGGAAACUGAAUGCAUACGGCAUACAUUCUGUUUUUUUGCAGACCCAUCGAAAUGAAUGUUUCCAUAUAUGGGAUUGAAAAAGCUUUCUGCAAAACGGAAACAAAAAACUUUUGUGUGCAGGAGGCCUAACUGUAUAAAACAUGAAUCCAUAUCAUGGACGCACUUCACCCCAAGUCCUGUGAGAACAGGGUUUGAGCUCAAAUGAUGCUGCAGAGGAGCCUCUAAUCACUGAGAAAUGUCCGCCUUCCAGUGUACGAGAAAACUAAAGUAUCGGCUCCAAUUUUCUAUUAAUCAAGUUAUCUGAAAUGUUCCCAUCAAAGUAUACAUUCAGAUUGCAAGACUCUGGCGGUAACCUGUGAUUUCACCAUCAUCAUGGUCAAAGGAAAGCUCAGCAUGUUUUCCCAUCAGUUUUCCUUCAGGUAAUUGGAAAGAAACUAGAGUGAAGAACUUUAAUCAGUUCACUCAGGGAACAGUUCUUGUAGCCAUCUAGGCAGAAGUCUACUAGAAAGCAACUGGGGUUCCAUUUGUCAUUCCAGGACUUGAACAUUCUCAGUGCCUCCACUAUACUCUGUGAAUUUUCAGAUAGGGUGACAAAGGCACCCACAACAACAUAGCAGACAUUGGUUCUCACACAGAGGAAAUAAAGAGGCAAUGCAUAUCUUGUUGUUCGGUAGGUUGCAUCCAACAGAGUAAUUUGAUUACCAUAGAUCAGUAACAGUCUUUUUUGCCAGUUUGUCUGAUUAAAAUAAAAAGGCUUCCUCUUUUUUCUUAUCAUCUUCUGUGGACAUGCUAGGCCGACAAUAAACAUCAACCUUAUUACUUCCUUUUUUCCAUUCCUGUAUGAGUAGUAGUAGAUUUGAUUGGUCUAUGGCAGAGUUCCGAGUCAUACUCUUUGCUUUAGCCAUGAUAUUGCAUAUGUCUUUUCU